UACGUAGGGUGCAGGCGUUAAUCGGAAUUACUGGGCGUAAAGCGUGCGCAGGCGGUUUGCUAAGACAGGUGUGAAAUCCCCGGGCUUAACCUGGGAACUGCGCUUGUAACUGGCAAGCUGGAGUGUGGCAGAGGGGGGUGGAAUUCCACGUGUAGCAGUGAAAUGCGUAGAGAUGUGGAGGAACGCCGAUGGCGAAGGCAGCCCCCUGGGCUAACACUGACGCUCAUACACGAAAGCGUGGGGAGCAAACAGG
rnacentral:rRNA from 1 species